UAGCAAGGGCCGGGUAAGACCGGUGCCAGCCGCCGCGGUAAUACCGGCGGCUCGAGUGGUGGCCGAUAUUAUUGAGUCUAAAGGGUCCGUAGCCGGCUUUGCAAGUCCCCUGGGAAAUCCAGCGGCUUAACCGUUGGGCUUCCAUGGGAUACUACAUUGCUUGGGACUGGGAGAGGUAGGAGGUACUCGGGGGGUAGGGGUGAAAUCCUGUAAUCCUCCGGGGACCACCGGUGGCGAAGGCGUCCUACCAGAACAGGUCCGACGGUGAGGGACGAAAGCUAGGGGCACGAACCGGAUUAGAUACCCGGGUAGUCCUAGCCGUAAACGAUGCCCGCUAGGUGUCACGACGGUCGUGAAUCGUCGUGGUGCCGUAGGGAAGCCGCGAAGCGGGCCACUUGGGAAGUACGACCGCAAGGUUGAAACUUAAAGGAAUUGGCGGGGGAGCACCACAACGGGUGGAGCCUGCGGUUUAAUUGGAUUCAACGCCGGGAAGCUUACCGGGAUCGACAGUUGUAUGAAGGCC
rnacentral:rRNA from 1 species